AACGCACAUUGCGCCCUUUGGCAUUCCGAAGGGCAUGCCUGUUCGAGCGUCAUUUCACCAAUCAAGCCUGGCUUGGUAUUGGGCGACGGGGUGAACCCGCGCCUCAAUGUAUCGGCUGACCGACCACUAUCUCAGCGUUGUGAAUUUCAAUCCGCUGGCGAGACGGGGCGUUUGGGCCGUGAAACAUUCCAUUAAGGUUGACCUCGGAUCAGGUAGGGAUACCCGCUGAACUUAA
rnacentral:misc_RNA from 2 species